CCUACGGGAGGCAGCAGUGAGGGAUAUUGCGCAAUGGGCGAAAGCCUGACGCAGCGACGCCGCGUGGGCGAUGAAGGCCUUCGGGUUGUAAAGCCCUUUUCUGGGGGACGAGGAAGGACGGUACCCCAGGAAUAAGUCACGGCUAACUACGUGCCAGCUGCCGCGGUAAAACGUAGGUGGCAAGCGUUAUCCGGAAUCACUGGGCGUAAAGGGCGUCUAGGCGGACGGGUAAGUCGUGCGUGAAAGCUUCCGGCUCAACCGGGAGAGGUCGUACGAUACUGCCUGUCUUGAGGGGCGGAGAGGGACGUGGAAUUCCCGGUGUAGCGGUGAAAUGCGUAG
rnacentral:rRNA from 1 species